rnacentral:sRNA from 1 species
CGACAACCCAGGACCGAUGGUUGUGUUUGCCACGCCAGGAAUGCUGCACGCUGGGCAGUCCCUGCAGAUCUUCCGGAAAUGGGCCGGAAAUGAAAAGAACAUGGUCAUCAUGCCCGGCUACUGCGUGCAGGGCACCGUCGGCCACAAGAUCCUCAGCGGUCAGCGGAAGCUCGAGAUGGAGGGGCGGCAGGUGCUGGAGGUCAAGAUGCAGGUGGAGUACAUGUCAUUCAGUGCACACGCAGACGCCAAGGGCAUCAUGCAGCUGGUGGGCCAGGCAGAGCCGGAGAGCGUGCUGUUGGUGCAUGGCGAGGCCAAGAAGAUGGAGUUCCUGAAGCAGAAGAUCGAGCAGGAGCUCCGUAGGCAGCCAGGCGGGCGGUGUGGGGCCCACCUCGGGUCAGCGCAGGCAGCCUGGGCUGAGGCUCUCUCUUCCCCCGGGGUCCAGGGGUCAGCUGCUACAUGCCGGCCAAUGGUGAGACGGUGACGCUGCCCACAAGCCCCAGCAUCCCCGUAGGCAUCUCGCUGGGGCUGCUGAAGCGGGAGAUGGCGCAGGGGCUGCUCCCUGAGGCCAAGAAGCCUCGGCUCCUGCACGGCACCCUGAUCAUGAAGGACAGUGUGAGUGCCAGGACGGCCUCUGGAGGGGGGAGGGCUGCUGCUGCGCUCCCUGACCUGUCCCUGCCCCACAGAACUUCCGGCUGGUGUCCUCAGAGCAAGCCCUCAAAGAGCUGGGUCUGGCUGAGCACCAGCUGCGCUUCACCUGCCGCGUGCA